UGAGAGCACCGUGCCGAGGGCGGGGAAAGUAGAAGCGAAAGCUUUCUCUGGCCGCCGCAGAGCCGUGACAUCUUCCAAGAACCAAGACCAUGGCGAGCUUGCCUAGGAAGCUGGAGCUCUUCUACGAUGUGCUGUCCCCGUAUUCCUGGCUGGGCUUUGAGGUCCUUUGUCGAUAUCAGAACAUCUGGAAUAUCAACCUUCAACUGCGCCCCAGCUUCAUCGCAGGAAUCAUGAAGAGCAGUGGGAACAAACCACCUGCCUUGGUGCCAAGAAAAGGCAAAUACAUGAUGACAGACCUCCAAAAUCUUAAGAACUUUUACCAGGUUCCCAUCCAGAUUCCAAAGGAUUUCCUCUCUGUCAUAUUAGAAAAAGGAAGUUUGACUGCUAUGCGAUUCCUCACUGCUGUCAACAUGGAGAAACCUGAGAUGUUAGAAAAAGUGUCUCGAGAGUUGUGGAUGCGUAUUUGGUCACGAGAUGAAGAUAUCACCGAACCCCAAAGCAUCCUGACUGCUGCAAAGAAAGCAGGACUUUCUGAAGCAGAGGCUAAGGGUCUACUGGAAAAGUGUUCAACUGACAAAGUGAAGAGCAGACUCAAAGAGACCACUGAUGCAGCCUGCAAUUAUGGGGCCUUUGGGCUGCCCACCAUAGUGGUCCACAUGGAUGAUAACAAAUCCCACAUGCUUUUUGGUUCUGACAGGAUGGAGCUGCUGGCCAGCUUACUAGGACCCAGAUCGAAGUGACCGACCAGCAUCUUCAUGCCGUGCUACCUGCACGAACACCACCUACCUCCUUGCUUACCUUCUGCCAUUUGCAGGAACAAGACUUCUGCUUUGUUCAGUUUAAUUCAUUUUCAAUUCAAAAGUAUUACUCGAGGAAUAAGUAAAUACUUGAAGCCUAGUCACGAAUCGGGGCUUGUUCUUGUUCCUGUUCAGCUAAAACUCCAAUUCGAUCCGAUAAAUAUUGAAAUGCCCACUAAGGGCCAUCAAUGUGCUAAGAGUAGGGGAUACAAAAAGGAGUCCCUGCUCUCAAGGAACUUACAAUCCAAGGGGGCGAUAUUUUUUAAAAAUAUAUCUAUAUUUUAAUUAUAUAUAUGCAUAUUUAUACACAUAUGGAUUCUCAUCAAUAUCCAAAUACACAUCCGUGCUCAGAAAUGUGUGUAUCAGCUUUGCACCGUACCCACUUUCUGACUCCUGAGCUCGUGGGUAAUUUUGAAUACCCAAACGCUCCAAUCCUUACCGUUGUGAUAUUACCUGGCUCCAAAACCUACUGGAGAAGCCCUGUGAUAAGCAAACGCCGAGAUGGACGGCGCUAUUUUUCCGAGGGGUGUGAGCAAGCUCCGCGCUAAGGAAAGCCUCGCUAGGCCGCCGCCGCCCCCGGCGCCGCGCCCCCCGCCCAUCGUGCGGCCUGAUCACCCUCCCGGCAGCGGCCUCGCAGGCGGCCGCACGGAGGCAGCAGGAGCUCAGGGCAGGCAGCCGUGGCUCCUCCUCCCGGACUCCGGUCGCUAGGCUCGUGACCUCCCCUUCUCCCAAUCAGGGCCGCGCAGCGGCAGGGGCGGAUCCCACCAGGAACCUAUUGGUUGGGAGGAGCGGUAAAGAACACAGCUGUUCCCCGCCCCCCAUUAAAAAAAUAGGAAAAAGAGGAAAGAAAGAAAAAAAAAGAAAACGAGCUUGGGUGGGCGGCUACGGUAGCGGCGGCGCGAUCCUAGUCUGCCCGGAGUCGCCACCAUGGCGGGCCUGCGGAGGAAGCUGGAAUUCUUCUACGAUUUGUUGUCCCCUUAUUGUUGGCUAAGCUUCGAGAUUGCAGUCUCCUCCUUCCACAUCACAAAGACAAUCCCAAUCUCUCUGGAUCUCUCUGACUGGAAAGUCAGUCCCCAGCCGUGAGAGGAGAUUGGCUCCCCAGCCCCUGGCUGGCCCGUGGCCUGACUGACGAACUCACAAAGACUGAACUAGACCAUCCAACUUGAAGCAAGAGUUUGGUCCAGCCCUGCUGUCCCAGGUGGCCCCCGGAGCCAGGGAUUGGGAAUGCCCCAGUUUCGAGGUCCUAAAAGCCCCCGGCACAGCUCACGGUCGUUCUGGUCUAUCCUGGCAGGUCCUGUGUCGAUAUCGGAACAUCUGGAACAUAAACCUGCAGCUGCGCCCAACUUUCCUAGCAGGGAUAAUGAAGGACACUAAUGUGGAGGAAUACAUGAAGGACAUUGGUAUGGGGGAAUACCGAGGGAAAGUAUGUGAUAGAGAACCCCAGUGCCCACAAAGGUGCUGGUAAAAAAAAAAAAAAAAAAAAAAAAAAAACCAUAGGGUCAGCCCAAAGGAUCUGGGCCCUGUAGCUUCCUUUUCUUUCUGACCUCAGCUAUAAAAUGUCCUCCUUUGUCUUAAAUACCCAGUCUGUUGAAAGCAGUGUUCUGUCCCCAGAA